rnacentral:tRNA from 2 species
GGGCUCGUGGUAUAGUUUGGAUAACACGUGGGCCUCCGGAGCCCAAGUCUCGGGUUCAAGUCCCGACGAGCCCG